GUGAAGUGUGCCACAAGCAAGCCAGCUUUCUUUGCUGAAAAGCUCCACUUGGCAAUGAAGGGCUUUGGGACACGGCACAAAGAGCUCAUCAGAAUCAUGGUUUCACGCCAUGAAGUGGAUAUGGAUGAGAUCAAAGGCUACUACAAGAGUCUGUAUGGCAUCUCUCUUUGCCAAGCCAUUAUGGAUGAACUCAAAGGGGAUUAUGAAAACAUCCUGGUGGCUUUAUGUGGAAGUGAUAACUAAAUUUCUUGUUCCUGCAAUACACUCAAGUCCUGUUGCUGAAGGUCUUUAUAUUUGCCUCAGCUGUCUAUAUCAAAUGCAGGCUUUACACAGUGACGUUUCUCUGGAAUAGCACUUAGUCCAUAUGUGUUAUGUCAAAAACCUAUAACCUAGAAUGUAUUUUUUCAGUAUCUUUAUCCUGAAUGGCAUUAAUAUCACUUGUUGCAGUUAUUUAUCCAAAGUCAAAGAACGCCUCUAAGUUCUGUUUACUUGAUUAGUCAUGAAAAAGGUAAAGUUUUGAUCUAUGCAAAGCAAAUAAACCUUUAAAAAUAAAAUU